rnacentral:lncRNA from 1 species
ACCGGAAGGAGGGAGAAAUUAUGACCGAGAGCCUGACACCUGAUGCUAGCGGCUUUUGUCUCGCCAAGUUGACCCAGUAUUUGGCCACCUUGUGCGGCGGGUGACUAUGGUGUCCAGGUAUAUAUAUGUAUUACCUGAAAGCCCAGGGCAGUUGUUGCCUUGGGUCAUGCAGAGAAUAUGCAGCCACACCCAUGCCUUAGAUGUGUGUAAUUCAAGUGGAGAAGACACAAGCCAGUGGUCGCAAUAUCAACACUUGAGUGUUCUGUAAACGAUUAAUGUUUGCCAUGUGCAAGGAAAUGGCAGAGGCAAAAUGCUGGCGGCUUAUGGAAAAAUAAUUUAUAAAAAAAUGAUGGGUUAGUUCUGCCAAAUUUGAGUAAGUGAGAACACGAGAAACCAUAUUCUGUUAGAGCUUGAGAAAAGGAAGGAAAGUCAAACGAUUUAUCAGAGGUUGCAGCUGCACAUGGCCAUGAGGUAAACCUUGCCCCUGUUUGAAAUUGAGUUUCAUCAGCUUCUACAUGGGAUUAUAAGGACUUGGAAUAUAUCACAGACCCAGCAGGGUUUCCCCCCUCAUUUUUUUUUUUUAAGAUUUAUUUUUCUUCCUAAAGAUAACAUGCUUAAACAAAGUUCUUUAUGGUUAGUAACUGUGAUGCUUGAAGUUGGUUAUCCCUUACUCCAGUAAAUUUUAAAUGUCAAAGAUAUCUUGUUAAAUAAAAAAAAAACUAUCAAAA